CGAGGGCGUUCGCCGCGCGUCGGCCGCGGCGGGGGCGGCCGUUCCCCUCCGGCCAAGCCGCUGUUGGGCGUCGGCCUCUUCCGCCGCUGCCCCCGGCUCGGCUCAGCCCCGCCCCGAGCGGCGGCAGCGGCUCCUUGACCCCGGUGCCAUGCGUCCCGGUGGUGUGGGCAUGGCCGUGUCCUGGGUGCUGCCCGCGCCCCUCAGCCCGGCGCAGCUGAAGCGCCUGGAGCAGCACCGCUACAGCGCGGCCGGGCGCUCGCUGCUGGAGCCGUGGCUGCAGCCCUACUGGGGCUGGCUGGUGGAGCAGGUCCCGCGGGGGCUGGCGCCCAACGCCAUCACCAUGGGCGGCCUCCUGCUGAACUGCCUGACGGCGCUGCCGCUCAUCGCCUUCUGCCCCAGCGCCACCGAGCAGGCACCUUUUUGGGCAUACAUCCUGGGUGCACUAGGACUUUUUAUCUACCAGUCUCUGGAUGCCAUUGACGGGAAGCAAGCCAGAAGAACAAACAGUAGUUCUCCCCUCGGAGAACUCUUUGAUCAUGGUUGCGACUCUAUUUCCACAGUAUUCGUUGUCCUUGGAUCCUGCAUAGCAAUCCGACUAGGAACAAAUCCUGACUGGUUUUUUUUCUGUUGUUUUGUGGGACUGUUCAUGUUCUAUUCUGCUCACUGGCAGACAUAUGUAUCAGGCAUACUAAGGUUUGGAAAAAUUGAUGUAACUGAAGUUCAGAUCACCAUAUCAAUGCUGCUCUUGAUAUCUGCCUAUGGAGGAGCAGGAAUAUGGGACUAUGAGGUCCCUUUGCUGGGCUUAGAACUGAAGUUCUUUGCAGUUAUUGGCAUCCUGUGUGGAACAGCACUUUCUUUUUUCAAUUACUUCCGUGUCAUCUUUGGUGGAGGGGUUGGAAAGAAUGGAUCGACAAUAGCAGGAACAAGUGUUCUUUCACCAGGCCUGCACAUUGGACUGCUUAUCACACUGGCCAUUACAAUUUAUAAAAAGUCCACAACUCAGCUGUUUGAAAAACAUUCUUGCCUGUAUGUCUUGACAUUUGGGCUUGUGAAUGCCAAAAUCUCACAGAAGUUGGUGGUGGCUCACAUGACAAAAAGUGAAAUUUGUCUUCAGGACUCUGCAUUUAUUGGGCCAGGACUUCUGUUUUUGGACCAGUACUUCAACAGUUUCAUUGAUGAAUAUAUUGUUCUGUGGAUAGCAUUGUUCAUAUCCUUGUUUGAUAUGCUGAGAUAUGCCAGUGGUGUGUGCCUACAGAUUGCCGCUCAUCUUCAUAUACAUGUCUUCAGAAUUUCAUCUCAUCAAGCUCCUGAGCAGGUUCAAAACCAUAAUGACUGAUUAAAUAGGUCAAGGACAAGAGAAGAAGCAGUUAGGGGAAUGAAGCAGCCUCUGUGUUUUUGGGAAGACAGAUUAAGCUUUUGAAGAAAAGUUUUAUGAGAAAGUUCACUGUGUUUCAGACAUUACCAGAUGUUAGAAUUAGUAGGUAAAAAGUUCUGCAGAUGCUGUUGUACUUUUGAACCAGUAUGUAUUUCCCUGUGUUUCAGAUCACAAAUACUACAUUUGAAAAUGUUGCCAUUUCCUAUUAAGUAACUAUAAUUCUGUACUUAUCUUCUGGUGAAUGCAGAUGCAAACCAAGGUGCUACCAGCCAGAAUUCAAAGAGAAAUUUCAUGUCUAAUCUUGUAGCAUUAGGUUCUAAAGUUUUGUUGGAACUGCUCUGAAGUGGUUGUCAGAUGUACCAAUGAAUUCAAUCCUGCAUUAUUAACACUGGUAAAAUGAGGCAGCCAUGGCCUAAAAAUCACUCAAUCUCUUCUCUGGUACUUCUAAGGAACAAGCUGUUGGACCAGUAGAUAAAGGAGGUACACCUCAGGAAAACUUCCUUCUGAUUCAAAGUACUGUUAUGAGUGCCUUUAGAAUUCAUGCAUUCUCUAGUAUCUAAGUACAUAACCUACUGCUACUACAUGAAAGAAAGUGCAAGCUAAAGUUUUAAGGCCAGUUUCUGGUUCUGUGGUCAUAGUAAGGUCAGUCUCAUUGUAUUUCAUCCUUAUCUACACUACAGCUAGCUGUGUAAGGAGAGGACUAACUUUAGGCACCCUAACUUGUAUCUGUAAGCCUAUGCAAGUGAAGGACAAAGUUCAUUGAUAAACUCCAAUGCCUGUAGCUCCAGCACUGCUGCCCACCCUUCUGUAUUUCCCUCUCUGGUCUUUUUGCUAUCCCUGUGUUCAUUUACCUUACAAUUGAUCCUAUUGUCUCGUAGCUACCACUGUAUUUUAUCCAAAGAAAAGGGCACAAAACUGAACCAUAACGUAAAACUCUCCAGAACAGGAACUCAGGCCCAAUAUCUACUUCUUCCUUUCUUUAAGAACAGACCCACUGGUAACAUAAUAUAUCAAACAAGAGGGCUGUUGCCAUUAUAGAAAAGCUGAAUUAAAAGUAGCUUGUUAUCUGUAUGAAAAAUUGAUUACUUGCACACAAACCCCAUGCAUAAGCUUAAGCUCCUUUCAAGAGGUACUACUUGAAUAUGGUUUAUGUAAAAAGCUGUUGAAUGUAAGCGUGCAUUAUUCCUUCCAGUUGCUGAUAUGUACCUGAGCUUCUGAGUUAAUGAAGUCCUUCCUGAACUGUCCAAUAAAGAAUGCCAUGGUUUGUUUUAAAAAUACUACCAACUGCAGCUUCCUACCUGCUUAGUAGUUCAAAAAUACUUCCUGAGGCAUUCAAGGAACUUUUAAAGUGGUGUAUUGUCUGCUGGUCUGGAGGAAAUAAAAUAGCAUCCAUCACCCUCCUGCCUAAGAAGAAUAUAAUGAUCAUUUUGAGGCUCUGUAACUGUUAACAGUUACUGCCAAAGGACUACAACUCAAAGUGACUAAUAUAAAAUCAGAAUGAAUCCUACUACUCCUGUUUGAGGCUGGAAAUGACACAGCAUCUGCAUGUGAAUUUAGCCUGAACCCCGGCCAUGGUCAAAUAGAAAAGAUGAUGGUAAUGACCAUUUUACUUUGGCUGAAUACUGUAAGCAAAUUAACCUUCUGAUGAAAAGACACAGGCAACAUCUUAAAAGUGAAAUGAGUGACAACAGUCAAAACUGUGUCCUGGCAUAGUAGGUGUAAGUAGUUUUGAGGAUGUGAUUGAGGUAUGUGGAUAAUAGGAAACUAAUACAGAAAUCACUCAGAAAACCAGAACCAUGACUCAAUACCUAACAAAUAAAACCAGAAGCAGGAGGUAAUGCUAACAAAUAACCCCCUAUUGAAGAUCUGAGGUAGAACCUGUCACCUAUUUCAUAGCCUCCUGUCACUGGCCUUAGAGGGCUGAGAUUCAGUAAUUACAAACCAGCAUUGUUACUGGUUACCCAUGAGAGGCCCAUAUUCCCUCAUGCGCCGUAGCAGUGAAACUCAGAUGUUUGCUCCUGUCCUGAAUUCCGGCAGGGGCAGAACAAGAAGUUCUAUACUCGUUACAACCAAACAGCUGAAGUUACUGCAAGUUUGCCUUCACUAAUCUGGCUUCCAGACCUGGAGAACCACCAUCAAAUGACCUGACUCAAAAUGCUUGUAGACUGAGACGAAAAUACGGUUUUGAAACACAUUGUUGUGACAACAUCACAUUUGGUGUGCAUGGGUACAUGUUGCUCCUCCACUGAGCCAUCAGAAUAACAUGGACUGAAGAGACUUGCGAACAGUUGCCAUCUCCUGCUGUUGCUGUCACAAGAAAAGGAGAUAAUGCUGAACAAAUGCUGUAUCAAUAUGAUUCCUUUGAAUUAAAUGAAUGUCAAAUGA